rnacentral:misc_RNA from 1 species
GUGAAUCAUCGAAUUUUUGAACGCAAAUUGCACUCUCUGGUAUUCCGGAGAGUAUGCCUGUUUGAGGGUCAGUUUAAAUAAAAACCGGUGGGGUUUCUGCCUUUCAUGGUUACUCACCGGAUGUGGGUCGUCUUGCCUUCGGUUAAGUGACCGAAAAUUUGGCAUGAUUUUUUCGAACGUAUUUCAAUGAUUGUACGUACAUUUUCGAUUUCGAUUACUAGUUUCCGUCAUCCUCAUGAUCCCCUCCUA